AUGGCUAUGGGGGCAGUGCUCUCCUCCAGCAGAGCAGCCUUCCUCGCCUCUCCGCUCUCCUCCUCCUCCUCCUCUUCACCAGGAAAGCAGCAGCAGCAGCAGCAUGACACCAUGAUGAUCAAGUACUCCUCUACGUCGUCACCACACACCAGGUGGCCGGUGUGCUCCCAGCUGGUUGCCGGGCACACAAACGGCCGGCAUGUCGCCAGGAGCACUGGAAAGUCAACACCACACCAAUUCUCUGCCCAAAUUCAGCAGCCUCAGCUCAACUCUACUCCCAUGAGGCUCUGCAACAAUGCAGGCCUGGUGAAGAGGAGGCUCCUGUCCAGGGUCGAGUGCUUCCUAUCCUCGGACCCGGUCACCAGCGGAUGGCAGAAACCCAAGAACCUCACCGGCCUCGACACCGCCGGAGUGCUGCAGCCCGAGUACAGAGCACCCGUCAGAAAGCAGCGCGGAGACUGCAGGGCUGAGCAGUACGAGAUGACCGGGGCUCCAAUGGGCGACGUCCCCGCCGAGGCCGCCGUCCUGGUCGGAGACGCGAAUAACCCAGAGGCCAUUUCUUCUCCCGCCUGGUGGCAGCAGUUCCCCAAGCGCAUGACCAUCGUCGUCCUCUGCUUCUUCUCAUUCCUGCUCUGCAACAUGGACCGUGUCAAUAUGAGUAUCGCCAUCCUUCCCAUGUCAGCAGAGUUCGGCUGGAGCCCGGCAACCGUUGGUCUCAUCCAGUCUUCUUUCUUUUGGGGCUACCUUCUCACUCAGAUUCUUGGGGGCAUUUGGGCUGACCGGUUUGGCGGCAAGGUGGUCCUUGGAUUCGGGGUUGUAUGGUGGUCUAUUGCAACAAUUCUUACACCAUUCGCUGCCAAGCUCGGCCUUCCGUUCCUACUUGUCGUGCGUGCUUUCAUGGGGAUAGGCGAGGGUGUUGCCAUGCCGGCCAUGAACAACAUUCUAUCCAAAUGGAUCCCGGUUUCAGAGAGGAGCAGAUCCCUUGCAUUAGUGUACAGUGGAAUGUACCUUGGUUCAGUUACCGGCCUGGCCUUCUCACCUUUCCUGAUAAGCAAAUUCGGCUGGCCUUCUGUUUUCUAUGGAUUUGGGUCCCUGGGAAGCAUCUGGUUUACACUGUGGCAACUCAAAGCGCGCAGCUCUCCGAAUGAAGAUCCGGAAGUAACCGAGGAUGAAAAGAGGCACAUACUAGGUGGUAGUACCAUGAAGGAGCCUGUUAGCUCCAUACCAUGGAAGUUAAUCCUAUCGAAGCCUGCAGUAUGGGCUCUCAUAGUAUCCCAUUUUUGCCACAACUGGGGAACAUUCAUCCUCCUAACGUGGAUGCCCACGUACUACAAUCAGGUUCUGAAGUUUAAUCUAACGGAGUCCGGGCUUCUGUGCGUCUUGCCGUGGCUGACAAUGGCCGUGUUUGCAAACGUUGGUGGCUGGAUAGCUGACACACUCGUUGCGAGAGGGGUAUCGAUAACAAAUGUUCGCAAGAUCAUGCAAUCCAUCGGUUUUCUUGGACCAGCCUUGUUCCUGACACUGCUGAGCAAAGUCCGUACACCGGCCAUGGCCGUGCUGUGUAUGGCAUGCAGUCAGGGGAGUGAUGCUUUUUCACAGUCUGGGCUGUACUCGAACCACCAGGAUAUAGGACCGCGCUACGCGGGUGUGCUUCUUGGGCUGUCGAACACCGCCGGCGUGCUUGCAGGAGUUUUUGGUACUGCUGCCACUGGCUACAUUCUUCAGAAAGGCUCUUGGGACAGUGUGUUUCAGGUGGCUGUUCUGCUGUACAUAGUAGGGACAGUGGUGUGGAACGUCUUUUCGACCGGAGAGAGGAUCCUCGAAUAA
rnacentral:rRNA from 1 species